CUUGACGCUUUGCCUGCUGGGCGCUUGCUUGGCGAUUGUUCCCUCCCCCUCUCUCCCCUCUCUCGCCGUUCUCCAGCUAGCCGCUUGCCGUGCCGCCAUCCCGCCAUGCUUUUGUUUUCCGUGAUGAGUGGCGAGCAGUGGCGUGUGCUUGCUUUGUUUAGUUCGGUUUAGUUGUGAAAAAUGGACUGUUUCGUGCUGUUAUUUCAUCAAAGUCGAAGAUUUGGACCGAAUUGGAAUGACGCAUCGCUUAAUUUGGUUUUCGACGAGUUGGACCGAGCCGCGAGAUGAAGGCGAUUGUCAGUGUCGGCGCCACCGCCAACGGCAAGCCUCCGCUGGACGACGUGAGACCAUCGAGGACAACAAACCAGCAGUCGUCAACAGGGUACUCGGAGGAGCCCAAGUUUGCGCUCGACCUCCGCCGGCGAGGGUGACACUGUGCAGACCACCACUGCGAGGUGAUCGGCGACCCCGCGCCGUCUGGCUCAGGGU